rnacentral:lncRNA from 1 species
CUCUCCCUCCCCCCGCACGCGGCGCACGCUCCUCCCGUCCCGAUCCCCCCUCUGCCGCCGCCGUCGCCGGCCGAUUCCGGCCAGCUCCGGCGCCACCCCGCGCCGCGGCUCACCGGCCCGGAUCCCCGUCGUCCCGCUCCACCGAUUCGCCGCCUCCGCCCCGGCCCCCCGCCCCCGCGCGCGCCCCCGAGGCAAACCCUAGCUCGCCGGCGCGGCGGUGCGGUGACCGUCUUCCGCUCCUCCUCCCGAGCCCCGGCGCCCCUGCCUCGGCUCCUCGGUGCGGGCUUCCUCGGCUACGACUCCUUCCGGUCCCACAGCGGUGGCGGUGGUCGUUCCCACUUCGUCUGUCUCGGUAAUCCCUCGGUUCUUCCUCCGCCUUCUCGCUCUCGAGCUAUGGGUGACACGGCCAGCGAGCCGUGGCUGAUUGUCGGGCCGUUGCUUGGCUACUAGUCCCAUGGCCGUCGAAUGGUUGCCCAAUUCCUGCGCUAGCGUGUUUGUAUUACUGCUGGCUGUGGUUUUCUAUUAAUGACAUGGUCCUCUGGCCUCCAUUUCUAGGCGUUCCCUAGAGUCUCUGGUUGUAAGUAAUGGUUGUGCCCAUGGUUAUUGUUAGCUACUGAUGCCAUGUGUUACUGGGUUCCCAGAGCUUCCAAUUGUACUUUUAUUCUGUGGUUAGCUAUAGAUCAUGGAGAGCUGUCUUACUGUAGUUUCUUUGUUAGCUAUUGUACUUCUAUGCUUCUGUUCUAUGGUUUCCAAUGGUAGCUAAAUUUCUACUUAAUGGGAUUGGCUACUAUGGUUUAGUUGUAACGUGCUGGGUGGUCAUUAUCCAUGGCCUAGACUAGUCAGUGCGCUCCAUGGAUGGAUGGAUUGGAUGAAAAAACUUAGUACUCCCUCCGUUCACAAAUAAAAGAUGUUUUUGGAUAUUUCAAUAUGGACCACUGCCUCCGUCCGGGAUUUUUGGUCCGCUGAGCAACGGAAGCAUGUCCGUUAAUUGUACGCCGUGUGAUAUUUCCUGUGCACAAUUAAUGGCGCCUCCAGCUAUCCCAUUGGCCGGGCACGAGCCACGCUGCCGUGAUCCACACGUGGGAAAGGACGCCUGCAUGCGUGCAGGAGGCCAGCCACUUAUGUCCAAAAGGGUAUCCAGCCAAUUAUGGUUAAACACAUGCAUGUAGCAACAUAAAUCAGUGCACUUAAUUACUGCCUAAAACGUGUGCAUGCAGUUGCCUUGGUACUGGUGUUUCGGUCAGCCGGACCAAAAAACCCAAAUGGAGGUAGUAGUACAUACGGACUGAUAUGAGUGAACAAACACACUUAAAUGUGUCUAUUCAGUAGAAAGUUAGAACGUCUUCUGAUAGUGAACGGAGGGAGUAGUUCCUUCUUCCUAGUUAGCGUGCUGUUUGAAUUUCCCCAAAAAUUGCAGGCAGGUGCUUCGAAUUGUGGAAGGUUUCCUCCUCAUUCUCCUUUCCUUAGAGAGGCAUAUGUUCUUUACCUAUACCAAAAAUCAACCAACUUCCUUUGAACAGCAGCUGAUUCUCGACUGUCAUUAUUAUUAUUAUUAGAUACUACUGCUGCUGUUUGGGAAUAGACCUUUAUCGUCUUAAAUUGUUUAUUAUUACUACCACACAAGGAAUAGCUCGUUGCUCACUCUGAUAUUGUGCAUACAGAACGAUAAGCUCACACUCUUCUGGAGCUGGAAAAUAGCCGGGAAGUCUGUGCGAGACAGGAUCAACCUUUUGCGUGCAGUAUUUUAAGCGCCUUGAUGCUACCCCCAAUGGUGCAGGUAUAUAGCUCUUACAAGUUAUAUUGGUGAAUUCUUUAAUUACAUCCAUGGCAGUCGAGCAGAAUUAACAUCAGCAUAAUCUGUAAAUCAAUACGGAGGAUUAGCUAGCAUGGAGUGAAACAAUAGUAGUGUCUGCUUAGUUCUUACCAUGCAUGGAAUCACUUAUGUUUAGUUUAUUUUCAAAAUAGACUAAAUAUGGUUGUAAACCAUUGAUUAGGUGAUCAGAUGACGAUUUAAGUAUUUUGUUACUAUCCAAUAUACUACUGAUGUCUUGGAUGCUGCACGUUUAAAUAUUCGUAGAGAUUGAUGGAGGCUGUUGCUAAUUGUCAUGGCAUGCUUUGUAUUGUCUAUGUUAUGAUUAAUACCUGCGCUACUUCUGUUGACCACCCUACUUUAUGUAUUUCAGGGCAAUUAGGAACUCUGAAGGUGAAUCUCUGACUAAAUAGGAUUUAGUCCGACAUUACUGCA